UACAGAGGGUGCGAGCGUUGUCCGGAAUCACUGGGCGUAAAGGGCGCGUAGGCGGUGACUUAAGCGUGUGGUGAAAGCUCGGGGCUCAACCCCGAGUCGGCCGUGCGAACUGGGUCACUGGAGCAUGUCAGAGGCAGGCGGAAUUCCGGGUGUAGCGGUGGAAUGCGUAGAUAUCUGGAGGAACACCGGUGGCGAAGGCGGCAUCCUGGACCGACACUGACACUGAGGAGCGAAAGCCAGGGGAGCAAACGGG
rnacentral:rRNA from 1 species